rnacentral:rRNA from 1 species
AACGAACGCUGGCGGCAGGCUUAACACAUGCAAGUCGAGCGCCCCGCAAGGGGAGCGGCAGACGGGUGAGUAACGCGUGGGAAUCUACCCAUCUCUACGGAAUAACGCAUGGAAACGUGUGCUAAUACCGUAUACGUCCUUCGGGAGAAAGAUUUAUCGGAGAUGGAUGAGCCCGCGUUGGAUUAGCUAGUUGGUGGGGUAAAGGCCUACCAAGGCGACGAUCCAUAGCUGGUCUGAGAGGAUGAUCAGCCACACUGGGACUGCGACACGGCCCAGACUCCUACGGGAGGCAGUAGUGGGGAAUAUUGGACAAUGGGCGCAAGCCUGAUCCAGCCAUGCCGCGUGAGUGAUGAAGGCCCUAGGGUUGUAAAGCUCUUUCACCGGUGAAGAUAAUGACGGUAACCGGAGAAGAAGCCCCGGCUAACUUCGUGCCAGCCGCCGCCGUAAAAC